rnacentral:rRNA from 1 species
UACGUAGGGUGCGAGCGUUAAUCGGAAUUACUGGGCGUAAAGGGCUCGUAGGCGGCCAACUAAGUCGGACGUGAAAUCCCCAGGCUCAACCUGGGAACUGCGUCCGAUACUGGAUGGCUUGAAUCCGGGAGAGGGAUGCAGAAUUCCAGGUGUAGCGGUGAAAUGCGUAGAUAUCUGGAGGAAUACCGGUGGCGAAGGCGGCAUCCUGGACCGGCAUUGACGCUGAGGAGCGAAAGCCAGGGGAGCAAACGGGG